rnacentral:rRNA from 1 species
UACAGAGGUCUCAAGCGUUGUUCGGAUUUACUGGGCGUAAAGGGCGCGUAGGCGGCUACCGCAAGUCGACUGUGAAAUCUCCGGGCUUAACCCGGAAAGGUCAGCCGAUACUGCGGGGCUAGAGUGCAGAAGGGGCAACUGGAAUUCUCGGUGUAGCGGUGAAAUGCGUAGAUAUCGAGAGGAACACCUGCGGCGAAGGCGGGUUGCUGGGCUGACACUGACGCUGAGGCGCGAAAGCUAGGGGAGCGAACGGG